GGGGAAACUCUUUGAUUCAGAAUAUUUCUUUUAUCAUCUGUAUGAUCAUUUUUUUUUAUCAAAUUGGGGAUCGGAAUAUUUCCAUUCCCACCCCACCCCCCCUUUUGAAGUCAAAUGGUUGUUCCCUUACCGCUAGAAAAAUUGUCCCAAAAUUUUGAAUUCAGUUCUACGUAAUGAACAUUUUAAUAGACGUGUUAGGAAAGUCGAUACUACUGUUGGUGCUCGUGUUGGAUGGAAGAUAAAUACAAUAAGAUUUGGGGGGUCAUCUCCAAAAUUAUAAAUACUCUAUUUUUUAUUACCUGUAUGGCCACUGAAAUACGUUAUUUAUAGUGUGCAAUACAUGACCGAUCGGGCAUUGUUAAGAACCAAAAUUAAUUUUCAAAUGUGAUAAUUAAAAUAAAUUACGUGGUACAUUUGUAAAUUAAGGAUACACAUGAAAAAGAGGGGAUGUUUUUGUUUUAUUC
rnacentral:lncRNA from 1 species